rnacentral:rRNA from 1 species
UACGGAGGGUGCAAGCGUUAUCCGGAUUUACUGAGUUUAAAGGGUGCGCAGGCGGAUAUGUAAGUCAGUGGUGAAAUCUCUAGGCUUAACCUGGAAAUUGCCGUUGAUACUAUAUAUCUUGAAUGCUGUGGAGGUAAGCGGAAUAUGUCAUGUAGCGGUGAAAUGCUUAGAUAUGACAUAGAACACCUAUUGCGAAGGCAGCUUACUACGCAGAUAUUGACGCUCAUGCACGAAGCGU